rnacentral:rRNA from 1 species
UACGGAGGGUGCGAGCGUUGUCCGGAAUCACUGGGCGUAAAGGGCGCGUAGGCGGCGCGGAAAGUCGUCGGUGAAAGCUCGGGGCUCAACCCUGAGUCUGCCGGUGAUACUCCCGCGCUCGAGCUCACUAGAGGCAGACGGAAUUCCGGGUGUAGCGGUGGAAUGCGUAGAGAUCCGGAGGAAGACCGGUGGCGAAGGCGGUCU